rnacentral:rRNA from 1 species
UGGGCAACCUGCCCUCAGCUCUGGGAUAACUCCAAGAAAUUGGGGCUAAUACCGGAUAUGACCGCUGACCGCAUGGUCUGGUGGUGGAAAGAUUUAUCGGCUGGGGAUGGGCCCGCGGCCUAUCAGCUUGUUGGUGGGGUAGCGGCCCACCAAGGCGACGACGGGUAGCCGGCCUGAGAGGGCGACCGGCCACACUGGGACUGAGACACGGCCCAGACCCCUACGGGAG